AAAUACGAGAAUUCCUCCUAGAGAAUCCCAACUGGAGCAGAACUGAUCGGCCGUGAAUGAAUGUUUUAAAAGAGAGAGAGAGUGUGUUUAUGGCAGAGCGUUAGAGAGAGAGAGAGGGAGAACGCAGGAGAAAAGGCCGACCCGGUCAAUCAACUGCGAUCUCCCACGCUUCACUUCACUUGGUCGGAGAACGAACACGCCUACACCCCGCUCCGCUAAUCAUCCCCCUUCUGAUCUUCUCUUUUCUCGUGAUAUUAUUGUUUCUAUAUACUUUCAGAUUCAUAAUUAGGGUUUUUUACUUUUGUAAACUAUAGGAAUUCCUGAUGGCUUCGAAACGGAUCUUGAAAGAACUCAAGGAUAUCCAGAAGGAUCCUCCUACCUCUUGCAGUGCAGGUUUCUUUCUAUCGGGCUGAAGGCCUGCUUGGUUCAUAAAGUUCAGAGAAUGUAUUCGAAUUCAUCCACAGCUUUGUGAUGGACCAAUUAACGCCUUUACAGUAACGUGUACUGUAACCAUGGGUUCAUUUAUGUAACCUCACAGGGUACGUUGGAGAUCUGUCUACUUCUAUCUUUGUUAGCAUAUGACAAUUAUUGGCCAGUACAAAAGAUCCCCUUGAAGGCCACUCGGCAUCAAGUAACAUACUUUGCUGAGAAGAACCUAUACCCACUUAUAGUUUCUGUUCCUGUCUCAAAGCCUAUAAAUCAAGUGCUAUCAACUCUGGUUGAUCAAGAAUCUGGCCACCAAAUUGAGCAUGAUAAUUUAAAUCUUGAUGGUACUUAAUAUUGUUGAAGAAUUCGAGGUUAGAAUUUUGGAACCAGAGAGUUCUGGUGGGCCAUGGCAAAAAAAGGAACUAUUCACAUACAAACUUCUGAGCCUGCGUUAACUGUCAGUGGUUACAUUAUCUAAUACAACAACAAGAGAGAAUGAAACUCUGUUGGCAAUUGGGACUGCCUAUGUGCAAGGGGAAGAUGUAGCUGCAAGAGGACGUGUUCUUUUGUUCUCAGUUGAAAAUAGCACUGAGAAUUCACCGGCAAAGGCAAAGUGCUCAUUGUGGUGGCUCAAUGGUGAUUCCAACAAGGCCGUGGGCGGCUGGAGCUUUUUGUUGCUAUUGUUGAAGCCUCCUUUAGUUCCUGGAAUAGGGGGGAAAAGUAAGGAGCUAGGAUAAUGAUGUAAACUGUACUGUAUAUGUGCCCCGAUUUGAGAGGAGAUCGGGUUUCUACUCCCUUCACUGACCAGAGAAUGUUACGACUUGUGUUUCUUGGGAUGGUAAUGGGCACGGUUUAUGCGUAGUCAAGAAACUUAACGUAUUGAUACGUAGUUCUUUAACUUUUACACAGCCUUUGGAAUGCCUUUGUGAUCAUAGAUCUUAUGACGUAGUUUUUUCCUUACGUCUCAUUUUGCCAAUUUAUUUUUCUACUUUUGUACAAAAAUAAUGUUUGGGAUUAAUAAUUGAUACAUUUUUUUU
rnacentral:lncRNA from 1 species